rnacentral:rRNA from 1 species
CAGUCGCCACGGGAAUACGUAGGGUCCGAGCGUUGUCCGGAAUUACUGGGCGUAAAGAGCUCGUAGGUGGUUUGUCGCGUUGUUCGUGAAAACUCACAGCUCAACUGUGGGCGUGCGGGCGAUACGGGCAGACUGGAGUACUGCAGGGGAGACUGGAAUUCCUGGUGUAGCGGUGGAAUGCGCAGAUAUCAGGAGGAACACCGGUGGCGAAGGCGGGUCUCUGGGCAGUAACUGACGCUGAGGAGCGAAAGCGUGGGGAGCGAACAGGAUUAGAUACCCCAGUAGUCCCUGUCUCUUAUAC